rnacentral:rRNA from 1 species
GACGAACGCUGGCGGCGUGCUUAACACAUGCAAGUCGAACGUUGAAGCCGGAGCUUGCUCUGGUGAAUUAGUGGCGAACGGGUGAGUAACACGUGAGUAACCUGCCCUUGACUCUGGGAUAACUGCGGGAAACUGUAGCUAAUACCGGAUACGACCCUCGGAGGCAUCUCCUGGGGGUGGAAAGAAUUUCGGUCAAGGAUGGACUCGCGGCCUAUCAGCUAGUUGGUGAGGUAAAGGCUCACCAAGGCGACGACGGGUAGCCGGCCUGAGAGGGUGACCGGCCACACUGGGACUGAGACACGGUCCGGACUCCUACGGGAGGCAGCAGUGGGGAAUAUUGCACAAUGGGCGAAAGCCUGAUGCAGCAACGCCGCGUGAGGGAUGACGGCCUUCGGGUUGUAAACCUCUUUUAGCAGGGAAGAAGCGAAAGUGACGGUACCUGCAGAAAAAGCACCGGCUAACUACGUGCCAGCCGCCGCCGUAA